UACGUAUGGUGCAAGCGUUAUCCGGAUUUAUUGGGUGUAAAGGGCGUGUAGGCGGGAGCGCAAGUCAGAUGUGAAAACUCAGGGCUCAACCCUGAGCCUGCAUUUGAAACUGUGUUUCUUGAGUGCUGGAGAGGCAAUCGGAAUUCCGUGUGUAGCGGUGAAAUGCGUAGAUAUACGGAGGAACACCAGUGGCGAAGGCGGAUUGCUGGACAGUAACUGACGCUGAGGCGCGAAAGCGUGGGGAGCAAACAGG
rnacentral:rRNA from 1 species